GAACCUACCGGAGCCACAAAAAGUUGGGUAAACAACACUUUCCUGUGGAUACCCUAUCGCCACCUCCUACCGCCAAAAUUACCAACAGCAUGUACGGCCGGUAAACCACAGGAGCCUCGUGGAAAUGAGAGUUCUCACCUGCUCUUCUUCCAGCCAAUCGGAUCGCUGGGACUGAUCAGUGAGGUGACAGGUAAUCUAGGAGGAACUGCAGUGUUAUUACUGCCACCAUCUUUUACACCUCUGGAAGAUGGAAGGUCUUCUUCUUUGAAGCUAGAUUCUGCACUCCAAACCGUAGAGUGUUUACAUUUUUUAAAAACAUAUUAAAUGUACCUUUUAAGUAUUAAAAAGCGACCAUGGUGAAAUACUACUCUAACAUUUCCCUAGGUGCAUAUAAUAGGCUGAUAAUGACCAUUAUUUGGGAGUUGAAAAACUGAGUGCAGGGUUAAGCCGGAAUAAAUAUCUCCCUUCGGUUUUCAUUUUCUAACAUUUACUUGCGAAUAGAAAGACCUCUUCAUUGUCCCCAAAUAAAUGUUGCAUGUUUAAUCACCUUUGUUUUUGCUCUACAUUCACACAAGAUACUUCAAAAACCACAUGUCCAACAGAUGCCCUUGAACAAAGAAAGGAGGAGACCGUGUGGUGUGAAGCAGAGAGCUCCUUCUCUUUGAUAUUUCCGGGCUCCAGCUCUGGGCUUGUGGGAGAAGGUGUGAUCAAUCACAUUUGAAGUGUUUGAUUGCUACCAAAGGUGUGGUGAUGCAGAGAGCAACUGGCGGCAAGACCACGGCAAAACAACAACACUAGCGAUCUCUUGUCCUCUACGAUUGAUUAAUUGGACCCCUGGCUUUUGUUUCUUUGUGUCUGACUCAGAAGAAAGGGGAAAGGUGAGGCACUCCACCUUCUACAAAAAGGAUGCAAUCCAGAGGUCUCUGUGUCUAGCUGUCCCGAGAACCAUCCGUGGUGCUAUCUAAACUGCAGGCAAAAUAAAAAUGACCCAACACACCUCCAGGCUGUGCAAGGGCUAUUUGACCAAGAAGGAGAGGGGUGGACUGCUGCAUCAGAUGACUUAAUUGAGAUGGUUUGGGAUGGGUUGGACCGCAGAGUGAAGGAAAAGCAGCCAACAAGUGCUCAGCAUAUGUGGGAACUCCUUCAACACUGUUGGAAAAGCAUUCCAAGUGACUACCUCAUGAAGCUGGUUGACAGAAUGCCAAGCGUGUGCAAAACUGACAUCAAAGCAAAUAGUGGCUACUUUGAAGAAUAUAAAAUAUAUUUUGAUUUGUUUAAACACUUUUAUGGUUUCAACAUGAUUCAAUAUGUCGUAUUUCAUAGUUGUGAUGUCUUCACUAUUAUUCUGCAAUGCGGAAAAUAGUCAAACAUUAAGAAAAACCCUUGAAUGAGUAGGUGUGUUCAAACUUUUGACUAGUACUGCAUAUAAUAUACUCUACAGGCCUCUCAAAGUUCCAGAGUGCAAUCUCUGCUAGUUUUAAAUUGACGUCACUUUUUGUACAGAGAAAUUGGUAUAGGUGGCAAUAUAACCAAUCCUGCGUAUCACCAGCAGAGGGAGACCAUUGUGAAUCCAUUUUCACAUUCACUCUUGUUGGUGAUUCUUACAAAUUCAAUCAUAACCCUAAAAGUAUGAGAGAUCCUACUCUGGAACGUAAACGUGGCCAUAUUAAUGUUCAACAAUAUAUUGACAUUUAAAAAAUAGAUAUUUUCAUAUUUACAAUGUUAAAUAUUCAUAAGUUGAUAUCAUUUUAAAAAAUCUAAAUACCACUCAUAUAUAUUACAGAGCAAGCAGUAGAGCUUUAUAUAUUUCAAAUAAACAUUUUCUUUGUAGCACCUACAGAUGAACCGUUAUUGAGUCUUAAAGGAGGCCUGGGGAAAUAUGCCAACUUCGAUCAAUUAUUGAUCAAGAUGCUUUCAGAUACACAUUUCAAAUAUACAGUAUGUGAACUAUCCCCCCUAAGAGGUGUAUUUCAAUGUGACAAUGAAUUAUGUAGUGUUUGCUAGUCCUUCAGUAAACCCAUUGAUGUGGAUACGAACCUUUCUCAACACACCGGUUGGUUUCAAAGACAAACAAUUAUUUUAUUAAAGUGGGAAAAUCGCUCACGAUACAAGAUACGUUGUUUUAUGUCUAUUGUUUAGGAGCAAUUUCAGAUGCAACAGCAAUAACCUCUGAAUAUCAUAUCACACGAUGAGCCCAUUUGUGUAUUCUUCAGAUUUUACAGGGAUAACAACAUUGUGCUGUCUCUGCCUUAGAGCCGUCUCCCAGUCCUUCAACGGUGACAUUGAGCCAGCUAACGAAUGUCUGACCAAACCAUAAUGGCGUCUGGAAACAAAACAAGUGAGAAGCCUCCACCAUUUAUAAUGGACCUCGCGUUGAUGUCAUUCACUAAUAUCAUGGGUUAGUGAGCAAAUAACGUGAAAAUAUCCACUGCAAAAAAAAGAACCUUGAUUUAUAAUACGAAUAGUAAAAUGAGUAUAAAAAUAGAGCCAUAUGCGAAACUGACUAAUCGUUUCAAAGGUAUAAUCCACAAAGCACACACGGAAUUAAACCACUUCUGAUGCACGUUUGCACAUUUCAUAUUUGCAAAUCCACUGAGUGUACAAAACAUUAAGAACACCUUCCUAAUAUUCAGUUGCACCCAUAUAGUACAAUCCAUGUCUCAAUUGUCUCUGAUUGAAUAUAGCAAGUGAGAUCAAUAAGGGAUCAUAGCUUUCACCUAGAUUCACCUGGUCAGUCUAUGUUAUAUGGAAAGAGCAUGGUUUCAUAACGUUUGGUACACUCAAUGUAUCUACAUGCAUUGGUAAUUAUUGUAUUUUCGGUAUGGGAAUUGCUACCACUAAUCAUAACCUUUGUUAUGCUCAAACUCCUUAAAUGAUACAUUUUGACGGUAGUAAAGCAUUUCUAGGCCACUGCUUUGGAGACAAUGAUCAAACAGUCAUCUGACAACUCAGUGGAGGGUGUCAACACCGCCUAUUCAUCUACCCAUGAACACAUACAUUCCAACAAGCCUUUCUCAAGCUUCACUUCUGUGAAGAAAAAAGGGCAUUAAACAGAACAAUACAACCUGUGCGAAAACAGAAAUAAAAUCACAGUGUAAAUGUCUCAUCUCUUCUCAUCGCUCACCACGGCCUCUCCCUCUCUCCCACUGGGGAGCAAAGCAGACAGAUGUCACC